rnacentral:siRNA from 1 species
CAUCGGUUCUAACCUACCUUAC